rnacentral:rRNA from 1 species
UUAAGCGACUAAGCGUACACGGUGGAUGCCCUGGCAGUCAGAGGCGAUGAAGGACGUGCUAAUCUGCGAAAAGCGUCGGUAAGGUGAUAUGAACCGUUAUAACCGGCGAUGUCCGAAUGGGGAAACCCAGUGUGAUUCGUCACACUAUCGUUAACUGAAUACAUAGGUUAACGAGGCGAACCGGGGGAACUGAAACAUCUAAGUACCCCGAGGAAAAGAAAUCAACCGAGAUUCCCCCAGUAGCGGCGAGCGAACGGGGAGCAGCCCAGAGUCUGAAUCAGCUUGUGUGUUAGUGGAACGGUCUGGAAAGUCCGACGGUACAGGGUGAUAGUCCCGUACACCAAAAUGCACAGGCUGUGAACUCGAAGAGUAGGGCGGGACACGUGGUAUCCUGUCUGAAUAUGGGGGGACCAUCCUCCAAGGCUAAAUACUCCUGACUGACCGAUAGUGAACCAGUACCGUGAGGGAAAGGCGAAAAGAACCCCGGCGAGGGGAGUGAAAAAGAACCUGAAACCGUGUACGUACAAGCAGUGGGAGCACCUUCGGGUGUGACUGCGUACCUUUUGUAUAAUGGGUCAGCGACUUAUAUUCUGUAGCAAGGUUAACCGUAUAGGGGAGCCGCAGGGAAACCGAGUCUUAACUGGGCGUUAAGUUGCAGGGUAUAGACCCGAAACCCGGUGAUCUAGCCAUGGGCAGGUUGAAGGUUGGGUAACACUAACUGGAGGACCGAACCGACUAAUGUUGAAAAAUUAGCGGAUGACUUGUGGCUGGGGGUGAAAGGCCAAUCAAACCGGGAGAUAGCUGGUUCUCCCCGAAAGCUAUUUAGGUAGCGCCUCGUGAACUCAUCUUCGGGGGUAGAGCACUGUUUCGGCUAGGGGGUCAUCCCGACUUACCAACCCGAUGCAAACUACGAAUACCGAAGAAUGUUAUCACGGGAGACACACGGCGGGUGCUAACGUCCGUCGUGAAGAGGGAAACAACCCAGACCGCCAGCUAAGGUCCCAAAGUCAUGGUUAAGUGGGAAACGAUGUGGGAAGGCACAGACAGCCAGGAUGUUGGCUUAGAAGCAGCCAUCAUUUAAAGAAAGCGUAAUAGCUCACUGGUCGAGUCGGCCUGCGCGGAAGAUGUAACGGGGCUAAACCAUGCACCGAAGCUGCGGCAGCGACACUAUGUGUUGUUGGGUAGGGGAGCGUUCUGUAAGCCUGCGAAGGUGACCUGUGAGGGUUGCUGGAGGUAUCAGAAGUGCGAAUGCUGACAUAAGUAACGAUAAAGCGGGUGAAAAGCCCGCUCGCCGGAAGACCAAGGGUUCCUGUCCAACGUUAAUCGGGGCAGGGUGAGUCGACCCCUAAGGCGAGGCCGAAAGGCGUAGUCGAUGGGAAACAGGUUAAUAUUCCUGUACUUGGUGUUACUGCGAAGGGGGGACGGAGAAGGCUAUGUUAGCCGGGCGACGGUUGUCCCGGUUUAAGCAUGUAGGCUGGUUAUCCAGGCAAAUCCGGAUAAUCAAGGCUGAGGUGUGAUGACGAGGCACUACGGUGCUGAAGUAACAAAUGCCCUGCUUCCAGGAAAAGCCUCUAAGCAUCAGGUAACAUCAAAUCGUACCCCAAACCGACACAGGUGGUCAGGUAGAGAAUACCAAGGCGCUUGAGAGAACUCGGGUGAAGGAACUAGGCAAAAUGGUGCCGUAACUUCGGGAGAAGGCACGCUGGUGUGUAGGUGAAGCCCCUGCGGGUGGAGCUGAGACCAGUCGAAGAUACCAGCUGGCUGCAACUGUUUAUUAAAAACACAGCACUGUGCAAACACGAAAGUGGACGUAUACGGUGUGACGCCUGCCCGGUGCCGGAAGGUUAAUUGAUGGGGUUAUCCGUAAGGAGAAGCUCUUGAUCGAAGCCCCGGUAAACGGCGGCCGUAACUAUAACGGUCCUAAGGUAGCGAAAUUCCUUGUCGGGUAAGUUCCGACCUGCACGAAUGGCGUAAUGAUGGCCAGGCUGUCUCCACCCGAGACUCAGUGAAAUUGAACUCGCUGUGAAGAUGCAGUGUACCCGCGGCAAGACGGAAAGACCCCGUGAACCUUUACUAUAGCUUGACACUGAACAUUGAGCCUUGAUGUGUAGGAUAGGUGGGAGGCUUUGAAGCGUGGACGCCAGUCUGCGUGGAGCCAACCUUGAAAUACCACCCUUUAAUGUUUGAUGUUCUAACGUUGGCCCCUGACCGGGGUUGCGGACAGUGUCUGGUGGGUAGUUUGACUGGGGCGGUCUCCUCCCAAAGCGUAACGGAGGAGCACGAAGGUUAGCUAAUCCUGGUCGGACAUCAGGAGGUUAGUGCAAUGGCAUAAGCUAGCUUGACUGCGAGCGUGACGGCGCGAGCAGGUGCGAAAGCAGGUCAUAGUGAUCCGGUGGUUCUGAAUGGAAGGGCCAUCGCUCAACGGAUAAAAGGUACUCCGGGGAUAACAGGCUGAUACCGCCCAAGAGUUCAUAUCGACGGCGGUGUUUGGCACCUCGAUGUCGGCUCAUCACAUCCUGGGGCUGAAGUAGGUCCCAAGGGUAUGGCUGUUCGCCAUUUAAAGUGGUACGCGAGCUGGGUUUAGAACGUCGUGAGACAGUUCGGUCCCUAUCUGCCGUGGGCGCUGGAGAAUUGAGGGGGGCUGCUCCUAGUACGAGAGGACCGGAGUGGACGCAUCACUGGUGUUCGGGUUGUCAUGCCAAUGGCACUGCCCGGUAGCUAAAUGCGGAAGAGAUAAGUGCUGAAAGCAUCUAAGCACGAAACUUGCCCCGAGAUGAGUUCUCCCUGAGACUUUAAGUCUCCUGAAGGAACGUUAAAGACGAUGACGUUGAUAGGCCGGGUGUGUAAGCGCAGCGAUGCGUUGAGCUAACCGGUACUAAUGAACCGUGAGGCUUAACCUU